rnacentral:rRNA from 1 species
AGUGAACGCUGGCGGUAGGCCUAACACAUGCAAGUCGAACGGCAGCACAGUAAGAGCUUGCUCUUACGGGUGGCGAGUGGCGGACGGGUGAGGAAUACAUCGGAAUCUACUUUUUCGUGGGGGAUAACGUAGGGAAACUUACGCUAAUACCGCAUGCGACCUACGGGUGAAAGCAGGGGAUCUUCGGACCUUGUGCGAUUGAAUGAGCCGAUGUCGGAUUAGCUAGUUGGCGGGGUAAAGGCCCACCAAGGCGACGAUCCGUAGCUGGUCUGAGAGGAUGAUCAGCCACACUGGAACUGAGACACGGUCCAGACUCCUACGGGAGGCAGCAGUGGGGAAUAUUGGACAAUGGGCGCAAGCCUGAUCCAGCCAUACCGCGUGGGUGAAGAAGGCCUUCGGGUUGUAAAGCCCUUUUGUUGGGAAAGAAAAGCAGCAGGUUAAUACCCCGCUGUUCUGACGGUACCCAAAGAAUAAGCACCGGCUAACUUCGUG